GGGUUGGGUUGCGGAUGAGUUCUUGUUUGGGGUUUUGAUUCGGGGGUUGAAGAGACUGGGAGAGGAGGAGGCUGCAAGGGAGGUGGAGAGGGAUUAUGAGAUUUGGUUGGAUGGGGGUGUCCAGACGCCGGCAAUGAGUGAUCGGCGAAAUGUCCAGCCGGAGACUCUACCUGUUUGAUGAAAUGACAAGCCGAUUGAUGCAGGUUUAUUACUUCUUCAAAUGCUG
rnacentral:misc_RNA from 1 species